rnacentral:rRNA from 1 species
UACGGAGGAUGCAAGCGUUAUCCGGAAUUAUUGGGCGUAAAGCGUCCGCAGGUGGCUCAUCAAGUCUGCUGUCAAAGGCAGGGGCUUAACCCCUGAAAGGCAGUGGAAACUGAGGAGCUAGAGUGCAGUAGGGGUAGAGGGAAUUCCCGGUGUAGCGGUGAAAUGCGUAGAGAUCGGGAAGAACAUCGGUGGCGAAAGCGCUCUGCUGGACUGCAACUGACACUAAAGGACGAAAGCUAGGGGAGCGAAUGGG